UACAGAGGGUGCAAACGUUGCUCGGAAUUAUUGGGCGUAAAGCGCACGUAGGCGGUUCGUUAAGUCGGAUGUGAAAGCCCGUAGGCUCAACCUGGGAAUUGCAUUUGAGACUGCAUAGCUAGGGUGCGGAAGAGGGAAGCGGAAGUUUCCGGUGAUGAGCGGUAGAAAUGCGUAGAUAUCGGAAGGAACAUCAGUGGCGAAAGCGGACUUCCUGG
rnacentral:rRNA from 1 species